rnacentral:snoRNA from 1 species
GUGAGGUGAUGAUGAAGUUUAUCCAUUCUCUGAGUGCAGUGGUGCUGCCCUCCUGCAGCACCCCGAUUCCUGUUCUAGGGUCUGGGUGCUGUGCAGCCUCCAGAGACCCUUUGGUCUGCCAGUGUCCUACUGGGGGCUGUUGUGGUGUGUGGCUGGCUGCCUGCAGGAGUGAAGUGGUGCUGGCAUGGUUGGAGCCCCUCUCUGGGGGGCUCUGUCCUCACUGAGAUGAAGGACGAUGUCUGAUCAC